rnacentral:tRNA from 1 species
ACCUGGCUGACUCAGUUGGUGGAGUAUGUGACUCUUGAUCUUGGGGUCGUGAGUUCGAGCCCCAUGUUGGGUG